rnacentral:rRNA from 1 species
AACUAACGCUGGCGGCGCGUCUUAAACAUGCAAGUCGAACGGUAUCCAUUGAGCUUGCUUAGUGGAGAGAGUGGCGAACGGGUGAGUAACACGUGAAUAAUCUGGCUCCGGGAUGGGGAUAACUACCCGAAAGGGUAGCUAAUACCGAAUAAGAUGGUAGCUACAUAAGUAGCAGCCAUUAAAGGUGGGGACCGCAAGGCCUACCGUCUGGAGAUGAGUUCGCGGCUGAUUAGCUUGUUGGCGGGGUAACGGCCCACCAAGGCGACGAUCAGUAGCCGGCCUGAGAGGGUGAACGGCCACAUUGGGACUGAGAUACGGCCCAGACUCCUACGGGAGGCAGCAGUUAAGAAUCUUGCACAAUGGGGGCAACCCUGAUGCAGCGACGCCGCGUGGAUGAUGAAGGCUUUCGGGUUGUAAAGUCCAGUAAG